rnacentral:lncRNA from 1 species
ACCAGGCAAAGAUGGAGAGACUGGUCAACCAGGAAUCCCAGGUUUGCCUGGUGAUCCUGGUUACCCUGGUGAACCAGGAAGGCAUGGUGAAAAGGGCCAAAAGGGUGAUACUGGCCCACCUGGACCACCUGGAUUUGUAAUUCCUACACCUGGAACUGGUGUGACUAUUGGAGCAAAAGGAAAUAUUGGGCAACCUGGUUUGCCUGGAGAAAAAGGAGAGCGAGGAUUUCCUGGCAUACAAGGUCCACCUGGCUUUCCUGGACCUCCAGGGACAGCUGUCAUGGGUCCCCCUGGUCCUCCUGGAUAUCCUGGUGAAAGGGGCCAGAAAGGUGAUGAAGGUCCCCCUGGAAUUUGUAUUCCUGGAUCUCCUGGACUUGAUGGACAGCCUGGAGCUCCUGGCUUUCCAGGACCUCCUGGUCCUCCUGGCCCCCAGUUACCCCCGAGUGAUGAAAUCUGUAAAGCAGGCCCUCCAGGGCCCCCAGGAUCUCCAGGUGACCAAGGACUCCAAGGAGAGCAAGGAGUAAAAGGUGACAAAGGUGAUACUUGCUUCAACUGUAUUGGAACUGGCAUUUCAGGGCCUCCAGGCCAACCAGGUUUACCAGGUCUCCCAGGUCCUCCAGGAUCUCUUGGAAUCCCUGGAGAGAAGGGCGAGAAAGGACAAGCUGGGACAACUGGUCCAAAAGGAUUGCCAGGCAUUCCUGGACCUCCAGGUGCUCCAGGCUUUCCAGGGUCUAAGGGUGACCCUGGUGAUGUUCUCACUCUUCCGGGAAUGAAAGGUGAAAAAGGAGAAUUGGGUUCCCCUGGAGCUCCAGGGCUUCCUGGUCUACCUGGUAGUCCUGGAAAGGAUGGUUUGCCAGGACUUCCUGGCCCCAAAGGAGAGCCCGGUGGAAUCACUUUUAAGGGUGAAAGGGGUCCUCCUGGGAACCCAGGUUUACCAGGUCUCCCAGGAAAUAUGGGACCUACAGGCCCUGUUGGUUUUGGGCCUCCAGGCCCCGUAGGUGAAAAAGGCA